rnacentral:rRNA from 1 species
AUUGAACGCUGGCGGCAUGCUUUACACAUGCAAGUCGAACGGUAACAGGCCUUCGGGUGCUGACGAGUGGCGAACGGGUGAGUAAUGCAUCGGAACGUACCCAGAGGUGGGGGAUAACGCAGCGAAAGCUGUGCUAAUACCGCAUGUGAUCUGAGGAUGAAAGCGGGGGACCGAGCAGCAAUGUUUGGCCUCGCGCCUUUGGAGCGGCCGAUGUCGGAUUAGCUAGUUGGUGGGGUAAAGGCCUACCAAGGCGACGAUCCGUAGCUGGUCUGAGAGGACGACCACCCACACUGGGACUGAGACACGGCCCAGACUCCUACGGGAGGCAGCAGUGGGGAAUUUUGGACAAUGGGCGCAAGCCUGAUCCAGCAAUGCCGCGUGCGGGAAGAAGGCCUUCGGGUUGUAAACCGCUUUUGGCAGGAACGAAACGGUGUCCGCUAAUACCGGGCGCUAAUGACGGUACCUGCAGAAUAAGCACCGGCUAACUACGUG